rnacentral:rRNA from 1 species
CUACGGGUUGCUCCAGUCGAGAAUCUUUCGCAAUGGGCGAAAGCCUGACGAAGCGACGCCGUGUGAACGAAGAAGGCCUUCGGGUUGUAAAGUUCUUUCGCUUAGGAGCAAGAGAAGGAAAUUAAUACUUUCCUGAUUUGAGAGUACUAGGUAAGGAAGCACCGGCUAACUCCGUGCCAGCAGCUGCGGUAAUACGGAGGGUGCAAGCAUUAAUCGGAUUUAUUGGGCGUAAAGGGCGUCUAGGCGGAGUCGUAAGUUAGACGUGAAAUCCCGGGGCUCAACCUCGGAACUGCGUUUGAAACUGCGACCCUAGAGGAUAGGCGGAGAAAACGGAAUUCUACAUGUAGCGGUGAAAUGCGUAGAUAUGUAGAAGAACACCCGUGGCGAAGGCGGUUUUCUAGCUUAUUCCUGACGCUGAAGCGCGAAAGCAAGGGUAGCGAACAGGAUUAGAUACCCCUGUAGUC